CACAAGAUGAUUGGCAGCAAGAGUCAACCGGUGAUGAAGGGAUGCGCUCAACUGAAUACAAGUGUCUGUGAACACAAACAUGCAGCAGAGUCGUGAAACCCCUAAAUCCCGUCCAGGCCUUCCAAACAGGACUCCUCUAAUGUCUGUGAACACACACGCAGCAUGGUUGUGAAACCCUUCAAUCCCAUCCAGGCCUUCCACACAGGACCCCUCUAA